rnacentral:rRNA from 1 species
CAGCCGCCCGGGAAAACCAGCAGCCCAAGUGGUGGUCGCGAUUAUUGGGCCUAAAGCGCUCGUAGCCGGGCCGGUAAGUCCCUUGUGAAAUCGGACGGCCUAACCGUUCGGCGUGCAAGGGAUACUGUCGGUCUUGAGGCCGGGAGACGUCCGAGGUACUCCGGGGGUAGCGGUGAAAUGUUCUGAUCCUCGGGGGACCACCGGUGGCGAAGGCGUUCGACGAGAACGGGCCUGACGGUGAGGGGCGAAGGCUAGGGGAGCAAACGGGAUUAGAUACCCGCGUAGUCCCUGUCUCUUAUAC